AGGACGAACGCUGGCGGCGUGCCUAACACAUGCAAGUUGAGCGACGAACCGGGGCUUGCCCCGGGGCAAAGCAGCGAACGGGUGAGUAACACGUGGAUAACGUACCCCGAUAACCGGGACAACCCGAGGAAACUCGGGCUAAUACCGGAUGUGCCCACCACACAUCAGUGUGGUGUGUAAAGGAAGCUUCGGCCUCCGUAUCGGGAGCGGUCCGCGGCCCAUUAGCUAGUUGGUGAGGUAACGGCUCACCAAGGCUACGAUGGGUAGCUGGUCUGAGAGGACGAUCAGCCACACUGGGACUGAGACACGGCCCAGACUCCUACGGGAGGCAGCAGUGGGGAAUCUUGGACAAUGGGCGAAAGCCUGAUCCAGCCAUGCCGCGUGAGUGAAGAAGGCCUUAGGGUUGUAAAGCUCUUUUGGCGGGACGAUAAUGACGGUACCCGCAGAAUAAGCCCGGCUAACUUCGUGCCAGCAGCCGC
rnacentral:rRNA from 1 species